rnacentral:rRNA from 1 species
ACAAGCGGUGGAGUAUGUGGUUUAAUUCGAUGCAACGCGAAGAACCUUACCUAGGUUUGACAUCCGGAAGACCUUCCCGAAAAGGAAGGGUGCCCUUCGGGGAAUUCCGAGACAGGUGCUGCAUGGCUGUCGUCAGCUCGUGCCGUGAGGUGUUGGGUAAGUCCCGCAACGAGCGCAACCCUAUUGCCAGUUGCUACCAGGUAAUGCUGGGCACUCUGGUGAGACUGCCCCGGUUAACGGGGAGGAAGGUGGGGACGACGUCAAGUCAUCAUGGCCCUUACGCCUAGGGCUACACACGUACUACAAUGGCGCAUACAAAGGGCAGCGAUACCGCGAGGUGGAGCCAAUCCCAAAAAGUGCGUCCCAGUCCGGAUUGCAGUCUGCAACUCGACUGCAUGAAGUUGGAAUCGCUAGUAAUUCGAGAUCAGCAUGCUCGGGUGAAUGCGUUCCCGGGCCUU